AGAGUUUGAUCCUGGCUCAGGAUGAACGCUGGCGGCAUGCCUAACACAUGCAAGUCGAUCGGUAAGGCUCUUCGGAGUACACGAGAGGCGGACGGCUGAGUAACGCGUAGGAACACACCCUGCAGUGAGGGAUAAGACACCGAAAGGUGUUCUAAUACCGCAUACGGUCUUCGGAUUAAAGCAUUUAUGCGCUGAAGGAGUGGCCUGCGUCAUAUUAGAUAGUUGGUGAGGUAAUGGCUUACCAAGUCGAUGAUGUGUAGCUGGUCUGAGAGGAUGAUCAGCCAGACUGGAACUGAGACACGGUCCAGACUCCUACGGGAGGCAGCAGUGAGGAAUAUUUCACAAUGAGCGAAAGCUUGAUGGAGCAAUGCCGCGUGCAGGAUGAAGGCCCUCGGGUUGUAAACUGCUUUUAUAAGAGAAGAUUAUGACGGUAACUUAUGAAUAAGGGACGGCUAACUACGUGCCAGCAGCCGCGGUCAUACGUAGGUCCCGAGCGUUAUCCGGAGUGACUGGGCGUAAAGAGUUGCGUAGGCGGUCAAGUUAGCGAGCGAUGAAAACUAUCGGCUCAACCGAUAGCUUGUUGUUCGAACUGCUUGACUCGAGAGUAUCAGAGGUCGCUGGAAUUCCUAGUGUAGCAGUGAAAUGCGUAGAUAUUAGGAAGAACACCGAUGGCGUAGGCAGGCGACUGGGAUAUUUCUGACGCUAAGGCACGAAAGCGUGGGUAGCGAACCGGAUUAGAUACCCGGGUAGUCCACGCCGUAAACGAUGGAUGCUAAUUGUUUGAGGUAUCGACCCCUCGAGUAAUAAAGCUAACGCGUUAAGCAUCCCGCCUGUGGAG
rnacentral:rRNA from 1 species